rnacentral:tRNA from 1 species
GGAGGGGUGGCCGAGUGGCUGAAGGCGCACGCCUGGAAAGUGUGUAUACGGCAACACCGUAUCGGGGGUUCGAAUCCCCCUCCCUCCGCCA